UGAGGUUCUAUAUAGAACCGUGGGGUUCUAUACUUGGCCAAUAGAACCUUUUACCAAAAAACGGGUUCCAUAUAGAACCCUUGGAAGGCAAAGAACCAUUUUUAUUAAAAUGGUUCUAUAAUUCACGUUUUGUGACUGAAGUGUAAACUAAAGAUUACACAAUAAUUGCAGACCUACACAACUCAUUUACAAACCUACACAACUCAUUCACAAACCUUUUUGUGUCAAUAGGUUGUGGUCAAAUAAAGAGAGAGUCAACAAAUAGGCUACUAAUAUUUAGUGUACACUGUAAAAAAUCCAACUAAUGAAAUGUUGGAUGGGCAAAAAUAUAUAAGUUAAACCAAUUGUUUUGCUUGAGCUAGUUGAGAAGAUCUGUGUUUAAAAUAUUAAAUGAAUGAAUGGUUAUUUUCAAAUCCAGUCAAAAUUCAGAAUGGCUAGUGUUGACUGAACUAAUUAAGACAAAUCUGGUAAAUAUGUGGACUUAUGACAGCUAUGUUUCCUGACAACAAAAUGCUCAUAAUAUUACUGUUAUUUGGUCACAAAAUGUAAUUGUAAGAGUUGUUCAUGCGUGAAUGUAUGUGCUUAAAGUUUAAAUAUGCGGUCGGUUAAUAAAGAUAGCGUCUAUUUAAAAAUGUGCUCGGACACUUUCGGACGUAGAUGAGCUCCAUAUAAGCUCCAUAAAAUCACAGACACUUAAGCGCUCACACCCCGCCCAGCGCAGCCUCUCCUCGGCAAGCCCAUCAGACUGCUGGCUCUGAUAUCUCUGUGGCGUUCAAACAUGCGAUUUAAUUCAUUUUAAUUUCUCAUACUUAACAAUGAAAGGGUUAUGUUUUAAAUCAUAUUUUAGGAUUGCACUUAAUUGAUAUUGCUGUUGAGUGAUGUUUCAUAUCUUUUACAUUUGUUAUAACCGGACUGCAUGCGAAUUUGAACUUCAGAGCUGAAGGAGCGGGUGGAGAAAUAGUCCCAAUAUCAUAACAAUCUUAAAUAAAACUUCUAAAUAUGCCCGUGUGUGUACCCGUGUGCGCGCGCGCGUGCGCGCGACCCGCUCGCGCGCGCCUGUGUAUGUACAGUAUGUGCGUGAGUUUUUAAUUUAAAAUGUCUUAACUUAACUCGGAAGGAUCUGAAUCACAGGUCAUUUCAUCUGAGAUCAUUCCGCAUGUAACAGCCCGGAAUCACUCACUGUUUCCCACAACGACACAAGUCAUCAGCCGUUUCCUCAAGGUCACGUCAGAGCGGUGAUGAUGUGGAGAAGGCAGACCAGACCACCACCAUACGCGAAGAUGAGGCUCGAGGCGUGACAGUUAUUUUUUCAAACUGAGGAGUUCGGACUCCGGACCGGCAUUUCUGCUUGUUUGUACCCUGAGAUAAGUAAACUUUCUACAUUUUUGAACCGAUAUUACUGAAAUAUUUAGUAUAAUUAGUUAAUAUUUAUUUUGUUAGAGUAGGUCUUGUGCUAAAUAGUGAUACUAGAAGCUACAUUUAUAAUAUUUACCUCAGUUAAAAAAUACUGCUGGUAACGUUAAAGCACUGACGGGCUUCGUCAACCGUCAGUUAUAAAAGCUCUGUUAAAUACAUUUUGUUCCUGGUUUUAAUGAAUUACGUUACAGUCCUGCUUUAUUUCUUUGUCAUUUUAAAUUAAUUUGCCAAGCACAAUAAGACAGCUGUGUUGUAAGGAGACGAAAUUCGAGAUAAAAUGGCCCCAAACAUCAUCAGGAGUGCAAAAGAAGGAAGUAAAAAACAUCUCUACGCCAAUCUCAUUGGAGAGGAAACCACAGAAGGUCUGGUGAGGAAUGCUGCACUUAUGUUAUUGCAAGCAUUAUUUCAAGAAAAUCCCAGCUUCCUUGACUGUGUAAAUAGUCAUACAGCUCCACAUCAAUUAUUAUGAGUCUUGUUGGUUCGAACCCAAAGGUCCCACACCAACCAUAGUGUUCAACGGCUCUCCUGAUCUCCUCAAAUCUGAAAGUAUCAACUUUAUAAUGGACAAUGUGAACUUAAUAUGUGGAAGACAUUGACAUCACAGGCUGUGGAAUGACUGUGUCACAGGUCGGAGAAGCGAACCGCCCCUGUCGCGGAUCACGCUCCUCCUAGUUCCACCUCGAGGAGGUCCCAAAGCACCCCAAUGACCAGACGAACCAGAGAUAAGUAAAAUAUAGAAAUAGAAACUUUAUUUAAAUUAUUUAAAGCUAAAGUGGGGAAUGGGAAAGGGAAUGUAAAAAUCUCGCUUCUCGCCCUCAGGGGGAGUAUUACGGGGCCAGGGACGUUGGAGGGGUUUCCACGUGACUACAGCUGGAACACCGCUACAGAGCGUAUCUGGGUGGGUUGGGCACACACCAUCGCGGCGGCCCCUGAUGGCAUCCACAAAGGUCCAAGACGCUCCUAAGCUCCUAGCCGUAGCAGAACUACGUAUUUCAGCACCCGAAGGACUAACAACCCAGCCGGCAUCUGCAGCGUAUAUCCAACGCGAUCAAACUUCACUCUGACAAGUAACUUCCUAUACACAACCACGUCGUCCUUUCGCCCGGACCAGCCCCGCACUCUUUCCGCCCGCUACCUAGCGGUCGCCGGAUCAGCAGAGCCUGCGGACUCUUCGGAGGCUGGUCUUCGUUGUGCUGCCCAAGGCGGAAGUUGACUCGCCCGAAAAUCGACCCUUCCAGUAACUUCUACCUUCUCUCUUUAUAUCCUCCUCCACUCACACAGCUGUGCCUUGUUUCAGCGAGUGCGGGGAUUCCCGGGGAACCCGGAAGUGCCGGUAUCUGUACAAACCGGGCCGGGCGAAACCUCUUCACUCUCCUUUUGGUUCCGCCCCGCAUAGUCACUUCGUGACAACUGUUUGCGUUUUUUUUCUCCUCAAUGUUCAAUACCCUUUUGCCAUUAAGCACACAGUGACUUUAAUUUAUAAAAUAUAUGCUGAAGUUUUAAUACCUGUACAAAACAAAUGUACAAUCAACUUGUGUAAAUUGUCAUUCUAUUUAAUAGAUUGUUCAUGAAUUGUCUUUAAAUGCAUUGUGAUUUCGGUAACACUUUACAAUAAAGUUCAUUAGUUAACAUUA